rnacentral:rRNA from 1 species
CUUUCAACAACGGAUCUCUUGGUUCUGGCAUCGAUGAAGAACGCA